CAAUAGCGUAUAUUUAAGUUGCUGCAGUUAAAAAGCUCGUAGUUGGAUUUCGGGUGGGAAUGGCCGGUCCGCCGUUUCGGUGUGCACUUGCUACGCCCACCUUGCUGCCGGGGACGUGCUCUUGAGUUCACGCUCGGGACACGGAGUCGGCGAGGUUACUUUGAGUAAAUUAGAGUGUUCAAAGCAGGCCUACGCUCUGAAUACAUUAGCAUGGAAUAACACGAUAGGACUCUGGCCUAUCUUGUUGGUCUGUAGGACCGGAGUAAUGAUUAAGAGGGACAGUCGGGGGCAUCAGUAUUCAAUUGUCAGAGGUGAAAUUCUUGGAUUUAUUGAAGACUAACUACUGCGAAAGCAUUUGCCAAGGAUGUUUUCAUUAA
rnacentral:rRNA from 1 species